AGAGUUUGAUCCUGGCUCAGGAUGAACGCUGGCGGCGUGCCUAACACAUGCAAGUCGAGCGAUCUUCUUCGGAAGAGAGCGGCGGACGGGUGAGUAACGCGUGGGUAACCUGCCCUGUACACACGGAUAACAUACCGAAAGGUAUGCUAAUACGAGAUAAUAUGCUUUUAUCGCAUGGUAGAAGUAUCAAAGCUCCGGCGGUACAGGAUGGACCCGCGUCUGAUUAGCUAGUUGGUAAGGUAACGGCUUACCAAGGCGACGAUCAGUAGCCGACCUGAGAGGGUGAUCGGCCACAUUGGAACUGAGACACGGUCCAAACUCCUACGGGAGGCAGCAGUGGGGAAUAUUGCACAAUGGGCGAAAGCCUGAUGCAGCAACGCCGCGUGAGCGAUGAAGGCCUUCGGGUCGUAAAGCUCUGUCCUCAAGGAAGAUAAUGACGGUACUUGAGGAGGAAGCCCCGGCUAACUACGUG
rnacentral:rRNA from 1 species